UUGUAUGGAUGAAAGUGCUGUGUCAAGUGAUCCCAUCAUUGCCUUCUUGCUUGAUGAAGUGGUGGUCAAAGAUUGGUGCAAGAGGACGUUCAACAAUAUUCUGACCGAGAUUCAAGUGAUGUAUAAUCUAACCAUGACUGCACUGAAAGAGAACUUGACUUUGUUUCUCAAGUUCUCUGUGAAGUUAGGUGGUAUCUCUAACGUUAUUGAUGUCUUGGAAUCAUCAUUUAAAGGUUCUCUUUCUGCAAAGCUUCAUGAUUUGCACCACCUUCAAGAGAGCAUCUUAAAGACAAA
rnacentral:misc_RNA from 1 species